rnacentral:tRNA from 1 species
GCCCCGGUGGCGGAAUUGGUAGACGCGCCAGACUCAAAAUCUGGUAUCGAGAGGUGUACCGGUUCGAUUCCGGUCUGGGGCACCA